GUAAGACCGGCGCUUUUACUUGACUCUAAAUAGGUCUUGGAAUAAGGGGUGGGUAAGGACGGUGCCAGCCGCCGCGGUAAUACCGGCGCCUCAAGUGGUAGUCGCUUUUAUUGGGCCUAAAACGUCCGUAGCCGGUCUGAUACAUUCGUGGGUAAAUCAACCAGCUCAACUGGUUGAAUUCUGCGAGGACGGUCAGACUUGGGACCGGGAGAGGUGUGGGGUACGCUCAGGGUAGGGGUAAAAUCCUGUCAUCCUGAGCGGACCACCUGUUGCGAAGGCGCCACACUAGAACGGAUCCGACGGUCAGGGACGAAGCCUAGGGGCACGAACCGGAUUAGAUACCCGGGUAGUCCUAGGUGUAAACGCUGUGGACUUGAUGUUGGGGGUGCUCCGAGCACUCUCAGUGUCGAAGCGAAGGUGAUAAGUCCACUGCCUGGGAAGUACGGUCGCAAGGCUGAAACUUAAAGGAAUU
rnacentral:rRNA from 1 species